CGCAUCUGUGCAUGCAGCAUAUCAAUAAGCGGAGGAAAAGAAACUAACAAGGAUUCCCUUAGUAACGGCGAGUGAAGCGGGAAGAGCUCAAAUUUGAAAUCUUCAAGGUUUUACCUUGACGAAUUGUAGUUUAAAGAAGUGUUUUCUGUUGAAGUUUUGGUAAAAGUUCUUUGGAAUAGGACAGUCAUAGAGGGUGAGAAUCCCGUAUUUGACCACUAUUUUCAGCUGUGUGAUACACUUUCAAAGAGUCGGAUUGUUUGGGAAUGCAGUCCAAAAUGGGUGGUAAAUUUCAUCUAAAGCUAAAUAUUGGCGAGAGACCGAUAGCGAACAAGUACCGUGAGGGAAAGAUGAAAAGAACUUUGAAAAGAGAGUUAAACAGUACGUGAAAUUGUCAAAAGGGAAGCGUUUGACACCAGUGUUGUUUUCUCGAAAAUCAAUUAAAAAGAGUUUAGAUUUUGUUGUGUAUUGACCUUAACAGCUUGCAUUUCAAUUUUCUUGCUUUUUUUAAUGCACUUUUCGUUUAACAAGUCAACAUCAGUUUCUUUUGUUGUAAAAAGGUCAUUGGAAGGUGGCUUUCUUUUCGGAGAAAGUGUUUAUAGCCUUUGACUCCUGCAAUCGGAGAGACUGAGGUCUGCAGCGUAGAUCCUUCGGGGUUAGAUACAUUUGUGCUAAGUUAUAGCUUUUUAUAGACAACUUGUUGACUAUGAUUAGUCUUGUAGCUUACUCGCUUAUGCUAUUUUACCUACGCUUAGGAUGUUGAACUCUAUCACACACAG
rnacentral:rRNA from 1 species